UGUAAUGAUGAUUCAAUAGACUAGAGUCUCUGAGAAUAUGAUGUCCCUUUACAUCAGACUGAACA